AAAUAAAAUGUUAUUAAAUUUCAUAGACAAAUUAUCUUCGACGGGUAAAAACCCAAAACAAAAAAAAAAUAUUCAUGAUCACCAACUAAUUUUUUUUGUCGGCUAUUUAAUUAAAUGUGGAAUAAACCGCAAAAAAAGUGAUAAAUAUGUGAUCGUAGUUAUCGUGCUUUGUGUACAAACGUACAAAAUCUUGUGAAAUUAUUACAAAAAUCUGAAAAAUUUCAGAGUAAUAAAAAUAUUAUUAUAAUUAAUAUUUAUUUACUUGAAAAACAAAAACAAUAUUUUCAGUUUUUAAGUUUUAGGUUAAACUUUACAAACGUAUCUGGCAACAUAUAAUCGGUUUUUUUUUAAAUUUACAUCUGUGUUUUGGAGUAGCUACAAGUGUCGCAUAAUUGUCAUGUAUAUUCAAUAUCAGAAAAAUUACAAAAUUAUACAGAAUAUGGGUGUGUUGUGUUCCUUUUUGUAAAGGAAAAGCAACUUUUACUUUACACCAAGAUAAAAAAUGUUGAACCCUUUGGGAAAAGACUAUAAAUGAAAAUUUUUGGUCUUCGAAAUCACCAAGGUUAUGUCCUAACCGUUUCGCGAAGAAUGUUAUUUUUUUAAAAACUGAAAGUUAUUACACAGAUGAAUCGAUAUCAACCAACGGGUUGGACUGGGACUGAUGCUACCCAAGCCCAAGCUGGCCGCCUCAGACGUUACCAUGCAGACCGUUACCGUGGUUCCUCAGGCCGCGCUUCAGUAUGUCGAUCUGUGGCAACACAGACUAGUGGAUUGGAGUGGCCGUUAAACCCAGCUUCAGGCCGCCUGAUUGAGACUCAAGCAGGCCCCAGAGAAAUUCGACGACCACCAGCUUCGUUUCGAUCACGCCCAGCACCCGUUCUUGUUCAGCUCGUACCAUUGCCGACUCAGUCACCACCUAUUUCUGUCGAUUUGCCGUCGGCUCAAGCUACAUCAUCAGCUACUCUCAACACGUCACCAUCUAUCGCUAGAUCUCCUGUACCGGGGAAGUCUAAGAGCGCGAAACGUAGGGAAAAGCGUCUCAAUACACUUCGCCAACUAGUUAACCAGCCCGAGUCGGUGGAUCCCGUGAAAUUGAAAAAAUUGAUGAAGCAUAUCAUUACGCGUGAGGGUAAAAUCCUCAUUGCGGAAGUCCAGGGUGUACGUGAACCGAUGGAAGUUGGGUCUCCUCCCAUAACACCUGCCGAAUCGGAGGUACUGGCAUCGUCAUCUUCCCAGUGUCUUGAACUAUAAUAGGAGGAGGCCAGGGCGCUUCCCGGUACGCAACAACAGGCAGUUCAAUAGCCCUUACGUCCAGCAAUGGAGGAACUGGGUGUCCAGCAAUGCUCACCCGAGGCCGCUGGUCAGGUCUCUGGUUCCAAAACUGGCAGCAUGGACCAACAAAAGAAGACUCGACGCAAGAAGAAGAAGAACCGGGAAUGUGGACCUAAUUGAGCUGAGAUGAAGAUAUUCGACAGCGGAAAUAUUGUUCGGGUGAUUCUGGGUGUGAAAGCCCCAAGUUCUAUGAGGACGAGGACUUUUUGAUGGAUGAUGUCCUCGAGAUUGGGCUAAGCUCAUUCGACGAGCCCUUGUAUACGGGUCCACCCCCACCUAAAUCAAACAAGAAGAAGAAAUUAAUGUUCUUUAAUUUUCUUUUCUUUUCUUUUUGUUUUGAAAUUUAAAAUAAAUAUUUUUCUAUCUUUCCACAAUAUCGAUAUCUUAUUAAGUCUUGAGUACAUGGCCGUUCCCUAUCCUUAGGAUGUUCAGGCCUUUGUGAUCAUCCGGAACCCGGGUGAUAGUCUGGCAGGGGAGAGUGUAACAGGGUAAAUUAGAAACUCCUGUAAAUUCAAAUAUUUGAAUUUCGAAUUUGUUUACCGUCGAUAACCGGUCGUUGAACUCGUAAGUUGUGGGUUAGUGACGCGACUAGUCACCGGGCGUCGCAUGGAUCACUAAGACCCGAACAUUCGCCACUCCCCUAAUUUAAGUAAGAGUAGGAAUAAGUUUCCGAGAGUGAACCAAAGAUGUCUAGGACUGCGGAACGUGGAUUUUAUCAGAGACAGUCGGACGACUAAAGUAGCAGGAUGCAUAUCAAAAUUCAGAACUAAUUGUACGAGGCAUUGAGAGAAAACGAGGAGCGAGAACCCGCCAACCAAACAGAGAACCAAAAACGAGCAGGUCAUCAGCCAAAAGACGAACAACAGUACCCGAUGAAAAAAGAUUUUAUACAAUUGUAUAGAAUUAUAUAUCAAUUAUAUAUAGACUAUAUAUAAUUGGAUAGAAAAAAUGGCCCGAUCCAAU